GAGAAUUCUGUAAGUCCGAGUUAGAGGGUAAUAGGUCCUCUACUUGUACAAUGGGUCUCUCUGUGAUCACUUGUGUAAAACACGAUAUCAUGAAUAGAAUAAGGGGAAUUUAGAUCCUUAAAAUUACUCCUUGUGAGUAGAAUUUGGAGCAUGUUGCUCUCAGACUGAGUAAUCCUCCAAAUGAUAGGUUUAUAGCGACCAUUCUGCCAAUCGCUUCAAGAUGUUUCCAUUUAAUGUCAAGAACCUGCUGUUGCACUUGGACUGGCAGUAGAAUGAUUUUCCCCAACUUUUAUGCAUAACCUAAAGAUCCUUUCUUCUGUCACCAUGUUGUUGAGCUCAUUUUUCUCCUAACCCUUUGUUUUGCGAUAUCCUUCUAAGGUUCCUCCUGGAUGAUGUGUCUGGAUCUAGAUAAGGCAUCUGUUGGAGGUGAACACGAAUUCUUUUUCUCGUAGAUAAGAACAUGCAGGGCCACUAGAGUCUCCGUGGAGCCAAUUUUCUUUGUGUCAGUCAUCGUUGUGGCGAUGACGAUUGAUUCUCAUGAUGUUGGUGGUGAAAGAAGAUGGAAGUUGGAGCAGAAUUUGCCAUUGUUCAGAAGUUUUAAUGUUUGCCAGUGACUUCAGGAUAUAUAUUUCACUGAGCUUAAAAAUUGGAAAACUCCGGAUGAAGCUCAGCUAGGGAUCAAUCUUGCUAGCUGAGCUUAAAUUGCUCAAAGUCAGAAGAAUUCUCUCGACUAAAGUCAUUCUUUAAUCUGCACUUCUUUGCUAUUGCUGAGGACUUCAUUUAUUUUUGGAGGACCUACUAUAGCAGUGGAUGGCAUAUUUAUAUCAUCACAGGAGGUUGGUAGACUUGCUGCAUUAAACUCAUUAUUUAGGAGUGCUGGAGACUAAUAUUGUUCCUAUCCCUCACCGCGCCUCGAGUCCGUGACCUUGAGAUUUGAUUCUCUUUCAAGACCAACCACAAGGCCAGCAAGAAGGCUGGUGCUGCAGACAAACAUUACUCGGAGCGGCUCCGUAUUCUCCAAAGAACGAUUGAGGGGGAGAUACUCUGUGGGAAUGGUCAGGCUGCCUCACAUACAGUGAAACAACGACUGCAAUAGCUUUCUCCAGUUCCAUAUUUCAAAAGAGGAAGCAAAAUUUUGAAGGAUCUCCAAAGACGUCCAGCCGUCCCUAGAGGUGGCCUUAUGGGACGGGUCUCGAAGCCGUCCUCUAUGAGUUGGGCGACGGAUUCCGCAAUAGUCUCCCUUCUUCUCUUCAAUGGCAAGCAUAAAGGCGACGACAGCCGGUGAGCCGUCGGCAGUGAUCAUUAGGGAUGGGUUUUAAAGCUUUUAGGGACGGGUUUGGCCCCCAUCUCCCCUUUCUCAUAGUGUCAGGACGACUCCGAAAAAGAAAAUGACAGUUAUAAAUGUAACCAUAAAUAGAACUUGAAUCGUUC